rnacentral:rRNA from 1 species
UACGAAGGGUGCAAGCGUUACUCGGAAUUACUGGGCGUAAAGCGUGCGUAGGUGGUGAGUUAAGUCUGUCGUGAAAGCCCCGGGCUCAACCUGGGAAUGGCGAUGGAUACUGGCUCGCUAGAGUGCGGUAGAGGAGAGUGGAAUUCCCGGUGUAGCAGUGAAAUGCGUAGAUAUUCGCAAGAACACCAGUGGCGAAGGCGGUUCUCUGGGACGGUACUGACGCUGAGACGCGAAAGCGUGGGGAGCGAACAGG